GACGUAGGGCGCGAGCGUUGUCCGGAUUUAUUGGGCGUAAAGAGCUCGUAGGCGGCUUGUCGCGUCGUCCGUGAAAACCUGCAGCUCAACUGCAGGCUUGCGGUCGAUACGGGCAGGCUGGAGUUCGGUAGGGGAGACUGGAAUUCCGGGUGUAGCGGUGGAAUGCGUAGAGAUCCGGAAGAACACCGGUGGCGAAGGCGGCCUGCUGGGUUCUGGCUGACACUGAGGCGCGACAGCGUGGGGAGCAAACAGG
rnacentral:rRNA from 1 species